AUUGAACGCUGGCGGCAGGCCUAACACAUGCAAGUCGAACGGUAACAGGGAUCAGCUUGCUGAUUCGCUGACGAGUGGCGGACGGGUGAGUCAUGUCUGGGAAACUGCCUGAUGGAGGGGGAUAACUACUGGAAACGGUAGCUAAUACCGCAUAACGUCGCAAGACCAAAGAGGGGGACCUUCGGGCCUCUUGCCAUCGGAUGUGCCCAGAUGGGAUUAGCUAGUAGGGGGGGUAACGGCUCACCUAGGCGACGAUCCCUAGCUGGUCUGAGAGGAUGACCAGCCACACUGGAACUGAGACACGGUCCAGACUCCUACGGGAGGCAGCAGUGGGGAAUAUUGCACAAUGGGCGCAAGCCUGAUGCAGCCAUGCCGCGUGUAUGAAGAAGGCCUUCGGGUUGUAAAGUACUUUCAGCGGGGAGGAAGGGAGUAAAGUUAAUACCUUGGCUCAUUGACGUUACCCGCAGAAGAAGCACCGGCUAACUCCGUG
rnacentral:rRNA from 1 species